AAGUCGUAACAAGGUCUCCGUUGGUGAACCAGCGGAGGGAUCAUUAAAGAGUUGCAAAACUCCCAAACCCUAUGUGAAUCUUACCUUCUGUUCGUUGCUUCGGCAGGCGGCCCCAGGGCGGGGUCUCCUACCUGGGUCUCCCAGGUGCCUGCCGGGGGAAUACAAAACUCUUUUAUUUUUAAGUCUGUCUGAGCAAAAACACAAAUAAGUUAAAACUUUCAACAACGGAUCUCUUGGUUCUGGCAUCGAUGAAGAACGCAGCGAAAUGCGAUAAGUAAUGUGAAUUGCAGAAUUCAGUGAAUCAUCGAAUCUUUGAACGCACAUUGCGCCCACUAGUAUUCUGGUGGGCAUGCCUGUUCGAGCGUCAUUUCAACCCUCAAGCCCUGUUUGCUUGGUGUUGGGGCCCUACGGGAUCAGUCCCGUAGGCCCUGAAGGUCAGUGGCGGGCUCGCUAGUGCUCCGAGCGUAGUAGCUAUUGUUUUCUCGCUUAGGACGCCUGGCGGGUUGCUAGCCGUAAAACCCCCCAAUUUUUCAAGGUUGACCUCGGAUCAGGUAGGAAUACCCGCUGAACUUAA
rnacentral:rRNA from 1 species